AGGAAGGAAAAAAGAGGAAGUUUCUCUCUGCGUUCUGAUUACACUCUGAAUUCCCUUGUAGUGAGCUUACUUCUCUCCACCCACUUCUUACCAAGAACUCCUUAACUCGAGGGUGAACAACUUAAAGCUUGAUCCUACAGUUACCUGAAAAGUGAUUUGAGUAUUCAUUGAACUGAAAGAACAAAUCGCCUACUUCAGGCGGUGGGAAGCGUAUGGAAAUUAUAUUAGAACUUCAGCAAAGUGCACAGCUGCAUAAUAGAGAAGCCGGCACUCAGAUUGACAGGCAAAUAAGCCAGCUUGUGGAAGGGGCCUCUGGGUGGCAGCUCUGGGCUUUUGGGUGUUGGACAACCAUAGGCAAAACUGAAAUGGAACAGGGGCAGAAAAUAGCACACUUUUACUCUGCGCAACUGUUGCUUUUUCAUGAUCUUCAGGAAUUUUACUGGGAUAAUUGUUCAAAUAAAUUGCAAGCAUUCUAUCCAAAUGGUUCCAGGCUUGAGAAUUUUCCUGGGGGAUAGGGGAAGGAGAACAGGAACCUGGGUAAGUAAAUAAUAUGAUGCUCCAGGUUUGUUUCUCCUGGGCUAACAUUUAUCUCUUUGGCAUGAUGAAAGGCAGAUCAACGUUGAUUGUAAAAACAAACACGAUUAGCACUAACGCAGCAUAUGUUAACACUGCUGCCGCCUAAUGAUGAAUGAGCUGUAAGCGAUGCCAACACCUGUUCUUGAUGAUGAUGCGUGAUACCCAACCCCAGUGGAGUCAUGAGCGCGAAAACACAGUGGUGCACAUCUCACUGAUUACAGUGGUUUAUGGAAGCGUUCUGGUGGCAUUCUCACUUUCUGUCUCUCCAUCUCUUCUCUGAUUAUUCUACAUUCAUUCAUUUACAACUUCAGAGUUGGCUUUAAGCUAUAGAAAUGCAGAUGUGAGGUGUUACAUGUACUAGCCACAUGAGAUGUAUUAGGUUACCCAAGUCCUAAGCAAUUGGAGAAUGUGUUUUCAUACCAGAAUAAUUCUUUCUAAAACAUCAUUGUUAAGUUAGGCUACUUGGUUCUAAUGUUGAUUGAGAUUAUCAGGCAUCUUAACUCGACUGGCUCUAAAUUUG
rnacentral:lncRNA from 1 species